GGAAGUUUCUCAUGGUAUCAGAGCCUAACAUUUGUUUUUCUUCUUCACUCAUCUUUUCUUUUUAAGAAGUGUUUGAACUUCUUUCUUUGUGAAACUGAAGUCUCAAGUCUCUCUUGAUCGGAGAGCUUCUUUUGCCAAGUGUAUCUGAUGAGUUCCUCAACUACCUUGCCUUCUUCUUCAGCUGAGAAAGACUCACUUUCACCAAUUUUUCUACUGUCCAACAUUUGUAACCUGAUUUCAAUGAGGCUUGACUCUACAAAUUUUGUCCUUUGGAAGUUCCAAUUGACAGCGAUUUUGAAAGCUCAUAAACUUUUUGGCUUUGUUGAUGGUACUAAUCCAUGUCCUCAGACUAGUCCGUCUACUACCUCGACCGUUCCGCCUCAAACGAAUCCUUUAUAUGAAGAUUGGAUUGCUAAGGAUCAGGCUCUUAUGACAGUCAUAAAUGCUACACUUUCACCUGAGGCUUUGGCAUAUGUUGUUGGAAGCACUUCUUCCAAACAGGUUUGGGAUGUUCUUGCAAAGCUUUAUUCUUCUGGUUCCCGGUCUAAUGUGGUGAAUUUGAAGUCCGAUUUGCAAACUAUUUACAAGAAGCCUGAUGAGUCUAUUGAUGCCUAUAUUAAACGGAUUAAGGAGAUCAAGGAUAAACUUGCUAAUGUUUCUACUUUUAUCAAUGAAGAGGAUCUUCUUAUCUAUGCUUUAAAUGGCCUUCCAAAUGAGUACAACACUUUCCGAACGUCAAUGCGUACACGUUCUCAACCUGUUACUUUUGAAGAACUUCAUGUUCUUCUAAGAGCUGAGGAAUCGGCUCUUGCAAAACAAUCUAAGUGUGAUGAUUCGUAUAAUCAACCGACUGUUUUACUCUCUUCUUCUCAAUCUCUCCUGUCAUGUGCUCCUACUUUCAAUAACAACUUUGUUCGAGGCAACGGACAUGGUAAAAAUUAUGGACAUGGACGUUUUUCUUUCGAUGCUCAAACUCGUGGUCAUGGUUUGUCUCAAGAACAAAAGCCCGUUCAUGAUAAUCAUGCAACUUGUCAGAUUUGUUCACGUCGUGGCCACACUGCACUCGAUUGUUUCAAUCGCAUGAACUAUAAUUUUCAAGGACGUCAUCCUCCACAACAACUUGCUGCAAUGGUUGCAUCGCAAAAUAAUGCAUUUCUAUCUAUUGUGAAUUCGUCUUCUUUGACCGAUUCGGGUUGCAACACUCAUAUUACUUCAGACAUGAAUUAUGUUUCUCUUGCACCUGAAUAUAAUGGUGAAGAACAAGUUGGUGUUGGUAAUGGACAGACUCGGCCUAUUUCUCACUCAGGGCAUUUCAAACUCGAGUUGGCCUCUUGCUCAGCAAGUGUCGCACAAUCGUUUUGUGCCACUAACCAUGCAUGAUGGAAAGUUAAACGAUGGGAUAGCCAAAUAAUCCACCUUCCUUGACCUAGCAAAGAAUAUGAUAUGGCUACAAGGGAAUUGUGAUGCCACCCAUUGCAUAAUCAUAUCCAAAUUCUUCUUCAGCUUGACUCAACAAAUCUUGAAACAAAGGAUGGUUCAAGUAAGAUAGCGAGAUGACAAAACGCUUCUUCUGUUCUUCUCCGACAUAGACCGUAAAGCAUCCUUUCGGAACAUCAAGAGACUUUGGAGUGGCUCUAUUUCCUGACGAUGUGGAUCGUCGAAGACUUGGCUUAGCAAGAACAAUGCUAGGCAAACGA